rnacentral:rRNA from 1 species
UACGUAGGGGGCGAGCGUUGUCCGGAUUUAUUGGGCGUAAAGAGCUCGUAGGCGGUUCGAUAAGUCGGACGUGAAAAUCUCCACGCUCAACGUGGAGGGGCCGUUCGAUACUGUCGUGACUCGAGUCCGGUAGGGGGAGUGUGGAAUUCCCGGUGUAGCGGGUGAAAUGCGUAGAUAUCCGGAGGAACACCGGUGGCGAAGGCGGCUUCCUGGACCGACACUGACGCUGAGGCGCGAAACUAGGGGGAGCAAACGGG